UACGGAGGGAGCUAGCGUUGUUCGGAAUUACUGGGCGUAAAGCGCACGUAGGCGGCUUUGUAAGUUAGAGGUGAAAGCCCGGAGCUUAACUCCGGAACUGCCUUUAAGACUGCAUCGCUCGAAUCAUGGAGAGGUCAGUGGAAUUCCGAGUGUAGAGGUGAAAUUCGUAGAUAUUCGGAAGAACACCAGUGGCGAAGGCGACUGACUGGACAUGUAUUGACGCUGAGGUGCGAAAGCGUGGGGAGCAAACAGG
rnacentral:rRNA from 1 species